rnacentral:rRNA from 1 species
AUACGGAGGGUGCAAGCGUUACUCGGAAUCACUGGGCGUAAAGCGCGCGCAGGCGGCUAUUUAAGUUGGAUGUGAAAGCCUACGGCUCAACCGUAGAACUGCAUCCAAAACUAUUUAGCUGGAGUGUGGGAGAGGAAGAUGGAAUUAGUUGUGUAGGGGUAAAAUCCGUAGAGAUAACUAGGAAUACCAAAAGCGAAGGCAAUCUUCUGGAACACUACUGACGCUGAGGCGCGAAAGCGUGGGGAGCAAACGGGAUUAGAAACCCUAGUAGUCC